CUACGGGUCGCAGCAGUGAGGAAUAUUGGUCAAUGGGCGAAAGCCUGAACCAGCCAUGCCGCGUGAAGGAUGACGGCCCUAUGGGUUGUAAACUUCUUUUAUACGGGAAGAAACACCUCUACGUGUAGAGGUUUGACGGUACCGUACGAAUAAGCAUCGGCUAACUCCGUGCCAGCAGCCGCGGUAAUACGGAGGAUGCAAGCGUUAUCCGGAUUUAUUGGGUUUAAAGGGUACGUAGGCGGAAACUUAAGUCAGUAGUGAAAUCCCGCAGCUUAACUGUGGAACUGUUAUUGAUACUGGGGUUCUUGAAGAUUGUUGAGGUAGGCGGAAUAAGUAAUGUAGCGGUGACAUGCUUAGAUAUUACUUAGAACACCGAUUGCGAAGGCAGCUUACUAAGCAAUUAUUGACGCUGAGGUACGAAAGCGUGGGGAGCGAACAGGAUUAGAUACCCGCGUAGUC
rnacentral:rRNA from 1 species